CACCAACUGGCAAUAACCAAAUCAAAAAUUGAAGAUCAAAGAACAACGAACUCCAAGUAGGAGGCUGAUGUUCUGAUACCGAAGCAAUGAUAGGAAUAUGAAUCUUGGCGUAGUUUGUAUCCCAAAGAGAAUAGAAACGUCCUGUCCAAGGAGCGAUAACACCUGUUGAAGAUAAAGCAAAAAGGACGACUGUUGCUAGACCCACUAAGCAAACCAAGGCAAAACGAAUAAGUAUUUGGAAUUGCUUGGAUGAAACUAGACCUUUAACAUAAUUGUAGAAUGCAAAAAGCUGUAACAGGCCAAACACUCCUAAAGCGGACAUAUGCUCACUAGUCGACACGGGUUGGAAACCAACAAACGGAACUUGCAUAGAAGCCAGCGUUCCAAUAACAUAGUAUGUUGUGUAAGCAAUGUAUAAUUUGCUAGUAUAGCGACCCAUAAGUAGAAGAACAAAUACGUGUAAAGGUAUCAUGUUUGUGAUGAAUACAUAACCACCCCACGCAGUUACCAUAUAGAAGUAGAGCAAUCCUGUGCAGGCACCCCAGAAAGAGGA